GGGGCGAUUUUUGGGGACAUUUCAGGGAUAUUUCAGGGUCAUUCGGGGUCGGUUUUUGGGGCAGUUUUUGGGACAUUUCAGGGCCGUUUUUGGGGCAGUUUUUGGGACAUUUCAGGGCGGUUUUUGGGGCAGUUUCUGGGACAUUUCAGGGCAGUUUUGGGGACAUUUCAGGGACAUUUCAGGGCGGUUUUUGGGGACAUUUCAGGGCGGUUUUGGGGGACAUUUCAGGGCGGUUUUUGGAGACAUUUCAGGGACAUUUCAGGGUCACUCGGGGUCGGUUUUUGGGGCAGUUCCUGGGAUAUUUCAGGGACAUUUCAGGUCGGUUUUUGGGGACAUUCCAGGGACAUUUCAGGGCCGUUUUUGGGGACAUUUCAGGGAUAUUUCAGGUCGGUUUUUGGGGACAUUUCAGGUCGGUUUUUGGGGACAUUCCAGGUCCAUUCCAGGGACAUUUCAGGGAUAUUUCAGGGUGUUUUUUGGGGACAUUUCAGGAACAUUUCAGGGACAUUUCAGGGCCAUUUUUGGGGCCAUUUCAGGGACAUUUCAGGGCAGUUUUUGGGGCAUUUCAGGGACAUUUCAGGGUGUUUUUUGGGGACAUUCCAGGGACAUUUCAGGGAUAUUUCAGGUCGGUUUUUGGGGACAUUCCAGGGACAUUUCAGGGACAUUUCAGGGAUAUUUCAGGGCAGUUUUUGGGACAUUCCAGGGACAUUCCAGGGCAGUUUUUGGGGACAUUUCAGGGUCACUCGGGGUCGGUUUUUGGGGCAGUUCCUGGGAUAUUUCAGGUCCAUUCCAGGGGUAUUCCAGGGAUAUUUCAGGGCAGUUUUUGGGGACAUUUCAGGGACAUUUCAGGGCAGUUUUUGGGGACAUUUCAGGUCCAUUCCAGGGCAGUUUUUGGGGACA